rnacentral:lncRNA from 1 species
UCACUAAUGAAAAUCCAUACUUUAUUCAGAUUUUCUUCAUUUUUAUCUAUUGUCUUUUUUCUUUUCCAGGAUACCAUAUUUCAUUUAGUUGUCAUUUCUCCUUAAACUUCUCUUGGUUGUGAUAGUUUCUUAGAUUGUCUUUGUUUUUGAUGACCUGGACCAUUUUGAAGGCUACUAGACAGAAAGGGUCACUACAGAUUUUCUUUAAGCGGCACACACACCUCAUGCCAGAAUGCUGAAAUACGGAUUAUCUGGGCAUGUUUUCACUGAGAAAGGCAGAGCAAAUGAUGGAGGAGAGAGAGUAAAACAUAAAGGAGAGAACGCCAAUGAUGUUGCAUCAGAAAAUCUGGUGGUGUAAGGGUCUUGGAACACCACGUGGGGACUUGAAACACUUCUAAAGACCCUGAUGUGCAACAUAUCUUAGAAUUCUUUACAUUCAGACAUGUAAAAUCAAGAUACAAAAAAAAGGCUGCUACCCUAUUAUACUACACUUAGAAAAGACUUCAAAUGGAAGUCAGAAAAUAUUUUACCUAGUAGAGAAGCUUCUGUGAACCCUCAAUCGCCUUCUGUGAUUUGUCUCUCAAUAAGGUAUGAAUUGUCCUCCUCUAGCCCUGUUCCUGUCUCAGGGUACCACAUUUCCUUUUGUAGUUCAUUCAUAAUAAACUGAGACCAGUAAAGAGUGUAAGACUCAUUGAAUUCUCUUGUCAGAAAAUUCCAUUUUAUAUGAGAAAGCAUGUAUGAUACUAUUCCCUUUUUUAAAUAUUGAGUUUUAUUUUCUGAUUAUAAUGUUUUGGAAAAUGUGAUGAUGCUCAUAGAAAAUGUGAAGAAAGAAGCAUAAUAUUAUUACCCAGAGAUUGCCAUGCUAAUAUUUUGGUAUCUU